UACAGAGGUCUCGAGCGUUAGGCGGAAUCACUGGGCUUAAAGCGUGUGUAGGCGGAUGCCUAAGUACCUUGUGAAAUCCCACGGCUCACCCGUGGAACUGCUUGGUAUACUGGGUGUCUUGAGCCACUUAGGGGCUACCGGAACAAAUGGUGGAGCGGUGAAAUGCGUAGAUAUCAUUUGGAACGCCAAUGGUGAAAACAGGUAGCUGGGAGUGUGCUGACGCUGAGACACGAAAGCCAGGGGAGCAAACGGG
rnacentral:rRNA from 1 species